rnacentral:tRNA from 1 species
ACUUAAAUAGUUUAUUUAAAAUAUUAAUUUGUGGAAUUAAGGAUAUGGAUUUUCCAUUUUAGGUA